GAUGAAUGCUGGCGGCGUGCCUAAUACAUGCAAGUCGAGCGAAGCGGGGACGGGUGAGUAACACGUGGCUAACCUCCUAUAAGACUGGGAUAACUUCGAGAAACCGGAGCUAAACCGGAUACAGAUAGAUGGAUCUGCGCUGCAUUAGCUAGUUGGUAAGGUAACGGCGUACCAAGGCAACGAUGCAUAGCCGACCUGAGAGGGUGAUCGGUCACUCGGCAACGGAGAUGCGGUGUAGCAUGCUAAGGGAGACAGCAGUAGAGAAUCGUCCGCAGUGGGCGGAAGCCUGUCGGGGGAAAGCCGCGUGAGUGAGGAGGGUCAUCGGAGCGUAAAACUCUGUUAUUAGGGGAGCGGUACCUAAUCAGAAAGCCACGGCUAACUACGUGCCAGCAGCCGCGGUAAUUC
rnacentral:rRNA from 1 species